AAAUAGGUGCCCGUACCGCAAACCGACACAGGUAGUCAAGAUGAGAAUUCUAAGGUGAGCGAGCGAACUCUCGUUAAGGAACUCGGCAAAAUGACCCCGUAACUUCGGGAGAAGGGGUGCUCUUUAGGGUUAACGCCCAGAAGAGCCGCAGUGAAUAGGCCCAAGCGACUGUUUAUCAAAAACACAGGUCUCUGCUAAACCGUAAGGUGAUGUAUAGGGGCUGACGCCUGCCCGGUGCUGGAAGGUUAAGAGGAGUGGUUAGCUUCUGCGAAGCUACGAAUCGAAGCCCCAGUAAACGGCGGCCGUAACUAUAACGGUCCUAAGGUAGCGAAAUUCCUUGUCGGGUAAGUUCCGACCCGCACGAAAGGCGUAACGAUUUGGGCACUGUCUCAACGAGAGACUCGGUGAAAUCAUAGUACCUGUGAAGAUGCAGGUUACCCGCGACAGGACGGAAAGACCCCGUGGAGCUUUACUGUAGCCUGAUAUUGAAAUUCGGCACAGCUUGUACAGGAUAGGUAGGAGCCUUUGAAACGUGAGCGCUAGCUUACGUGGAGGCGCUGGUGGGAUACUACCCUAGCUGUGUUGGCUUUCUAACCCGCACCACUUAUCGUGGUGGGAGACAGUGUCAGGCGGGCAGUUUGACUGGGGCGGUCGCCUCCUAAAAGGUAACGGAGGCGCUCAAAGGUUCCCUCAGAAUGGUUGGAAAUCAUUCAUAGAGUGUAAAGGCAUAAGGGAGCUUGACUGCGAGACCUACAAGUCGAGCAGGGUCGAAAGACGGACUUAGUGAUCCGGUGGUUCCGCAUGGAAGGGCCAUCGCUCAACGGAUAAAAGCUACCCCGGGGAUAACAGGCUUAUCUCCCCCAAGAGUUCACAUCGACGGGGAGGUUUGGCACCUCGAUGUCGGCUCAUCGCAUCCUGGGGCUGUAGUCGGUCCCAAGGGUUGGGCUGUUCGCCCAUUAAAGCGGUACGCGAGCUGGGUUCAGAACGUCGUGAGACAGUUCGGUCCCUAUCCGUCGUGGGCGUAGGAAAUUUGAGAGGAGCUGUCCUUAGUACGAGAGGACCGGGAUGGACAUACCUCUGGUGUACCAGUUGUCGUGCCAACGGCAUAGCUGGGUAGCUAUGUGUGGACGGGAUAAGUGCUGAAAGCAUCUAAGCAUGAAGCCCCCCUCAAGAUGAGAUUUCCCAACUUCGGUUAUAAGAUCCCUCAAAGAUGAUGAGGUUAAUAGGUUCGAGGUGGAAGCAUGGUGACAU
rnacentral:rRNA from 1 species